rnacentral:rRNA from 1 species
CCGGCACGGGUGAGUAACACGUAUCCAACCUGCCGUCUACUCUUGGACAGCCUUCUGAAAGGAAGAUUAAUACAAGAUGGCAUCAUGAGUUCACAUGUUCACAUGAGUUAAAGGUAUUCCGGUAGACGAUGGGGAUGCGUUCCAUUAGAUAGUAGGCGGGGUAACGGCCCACCUAGUCUUCGAUGGAUAGGGGUUCUGAGAGGAAGGUCCCCCACAUUGGAACUGAGACACGGUCCAA